rnacentral:rRNA from 1 species
UACGGGGGGAGCAAGCGUUGUUCGGAUUUACUGGGCGUAAAGGGCGCGUAGGCGGCCAGUGCAAGUCAGUUGUGAAAUCUCCGAGCUUAACUCGGAAAGGUCAACUGAUACUGCUCGGCUAGAGUGUGGAAGGGGCAACUGGAAUUCUUGGUGUAGCGGUGAAAUGCGUAGAUAUCAAGAGGAACACCUGCGGCGAAGGCGGGUUGCUGGGCCGACACUGACGCUGAGGCGCGAAAGCUAGGGGAGCGAACGGG